rnacentral:rRNA from 1 species
AACGAACGCUGGCGGCGUGCUUAACACAUGCAAGUCGAACGGAAACGCCCUGCUUUUUUGCGCUUCUCGGGUGGCGAACGGGUGAGUAACACGUAAGUAACCUACCCUUCCCUUUCGGGUAACUUCAUGAAACUGGGGCUAAUCCAAGAUAGGAUCUCCCGCUGCAUGGUGGGCGUUGGAUAGUUUCGGCGGUUGGGGAUGGACUCGCGGCUUAUCAGCUUGUUGGUGGGGUAGUGGCUUACCAAGGCUUUGACGGGUAGCCGGCCUGGGAGGGGGACCGGCCACAUGGCGACUGAGAUACGGCGCAGACGAGAAUGGGAGGCAACGGUGGAGAAUAUUGUACAAGGGGAGGGAGUCGGAUGCAGCAACGCAGCGUGCGGGAAGACGGCCUGCGGGUAGUGAACCGCUUUCGCCUGAGACGAAGCGUGAGUGACGGUACCGGGAAAAGAAGCACCGGCUAACUACGUG